AACGAACGCUGGCGGCAUGCCUAACACAUGCAAGUCGAACGAGACCUUCGGGUCUAGUGGCGCACGGGUGCGUAACGCGUGGGAACCUUCCCUUAGGUUCGGAAUAACUCCCCGAAAGGGGUGCUAAUACCGGAUAAUGUCUUCGGACCAAAGAUUUAUCGCCUUUGGAUGGGCCCGCGUUGGAUUAGCUAGUUGGUAGGGUAAAAGCCUGCCAAGGCGACGAUCCAUAGCUGGUCUGAGAGGAUGAUCAGCCACACUGGGACUGAGACACGGCCCAGACUCCUACGGGAUGCAGCAGUGGGGAAUAUUGGACAGUGAGCAAAAGCCUGAUCAAGCAAUGCCGCGUGAGAGAUGAAGGCCUUAGGGUUGUAAAGCUCUAUUACCCGAGAAGAUAAUGACAGUACCGGAAGGAUAAGCUCCGGCUGACUCCGUG
rnacentral:rRNA from 1 species